ACUGUACUUAACCGACCACAAAAACACACCCUAAACAUCAACUACACCUUUCUCUGCCAGCACGGAGGUCAGUACUGUACUGGACCUACCACAAAAACACACCCUAAACAUCAACUACACCUUUCUCUGCCAGUACGGAGGUCAGUACUGUACUUAACCGACCACAAAAACACACCCUAAACAUCAACUACACCUUUCUCUGCCAGCACGGAGGUCAGUACUGUACUGGACCUACCACAAAAACACACCCUAAACAUCAACUACACCUUUCUCUGCUAGUACGGAGAUCAGUACUGUACUGGACCUACCACAAAAACACAUCCUAAACAUCAACUACACCUUUCUCUGCUAGUACGGAGAUCAGUACUGUACUGGACCUACCACAAAAACACAUCCUAAACAUCAACUACACCUUUCUCUGCCAGCACGGAGGUCAGUACUGUACUGGACCUACCACAAAAACACACCCUAAACAUCAACUACACCUUUCUCUGCCAGCACGGAGGUCAGAACUGUACUUAACCGACCACAAAAACACACCCUAAACAUCAACUACACCUUUCUCUGCCAGCACGGAGGUCAGAACUGUACUUAACCGACCACAAAAACACACCCUAAACAUCAACUACACCUUUCUCUGCUAGUACGGAGGUCAGUACUGUACUGGACCUACCACAAAAACACACCCUAAACAUCAACUACACCUUUCUCUGCUAGUACGGAGGUCAGUACUGUACUGGACCUACCACAAAAACACACCCUAAACAUCAACUACACCUUUCUCUGCUAGCACGGAGGUCAGUACUGUACUGGACCUACCACAAAAACACAUCCUAAACAUCAACUACACCUUUCUCUGCCAGCAUGGAGGUCAGUACUGUACUGGACCUACCACAAAAACACACCCUAAACAUCAACUACACCUUUCUCUGCUAGUACGGAGGUCAGUACUGUACUGGACCUACCACAAAAACACACCCUAAACAUCAACUACACCUUUCUCUGCUAGUACGGAGGUCAGUACUGUACUGGACCUACCACAAAAACACACCCUAAACAUCAACUACACCUUUCUCUGCUAGCACGGAGGUCAGUACUGUACUGGACCUACCACAAAAACACAUCCUAAACAUCAACUACACCUUUCUCUGCCAGCAUGGAGGUCAGUACUGUACUGGACCUACCACAAAAACACACCCUAAACAUCAACUACACCUUUCUCUGCCAGCAUGGAGAUCAGUACUGUACUGGACCUACCACAAAAACACACCCUAAACAUCAACUACACCUUUCUCUGCUAGUACGGAGAUCAGUACUGUACUGGACCUACCACAAAAACACACCCUAAACAUCAACUACACCUUUCUCUGCUAGUACGGAGGUCAGUACUGUACUGGACCUACCACAAAAACACAUCCUAAACAUCAACUACACCUUUCUCUGCUAGUACGGAGAUCAGUACUGUACUGGACCUACCACAAAAACACACCCUAAACAUCAACUACACCUUUCUCUGCCAGCACGGAGGUCAGUACUGUACUGGACCUACCACAAAAACACACCCUAAACAUCAACUACACCUUUCUCUGCCAGCACGGAGGUCAGAACUGUACUGGACCUACCACAAAAACACACCCUAAACAUCAACUACACCUUUCUCUGCCAGCACGGAGGUCAGUACUGUACUGGACCUACCACAAAAACACACCCUAAACAUCAACUACACCUUUCUCUGCCAGCACGGAGGUCAGUACUGUACUGGACCUACCACAAAAACACACCCUAAACAUCAACUACACCUUUCUCUGCCAGCACGGAGGUCAGAACUGUACUGGACCUACCACAAAAACACACCCUAAACAUCAACUACACCUUUCUCUGCCAGCACGGAGGUCAGAACUGUACUGGACCUACCACAAAAACACACCCUAAACAUCAACUACACCUUUCUCUGCCAGCACGGAGGUCAGUACUGUACUGGACCUACCACAAAAACACACCCUAAACAUCAACUACACCUUUCUCUGCUAGUACGGAGGUCAGAACUGUACUUAACCUACCAC